rnacentral:lncRNA from 1 species
UGAAUUUUUGAAGAUUUUGUGCUCUCUUAUCCUUAAGGCUUUUUGAAUCCAAAGAAAAACAAUGAUUUCUUGUAGCCUAGCCCCAUUACAAGCUUAAAAAAGACCUUAGUGAUCCAUGAUUGAUAGCAUGUCUUGUGAUUUGUUGAGAUGUAUGUUUGAAUUGAUUUGUUGUGAACACAUUGCUUGUAUUGAGAGAAACACUACACCCUUGAGUUGAAACACUUGUGAGAAUUGUGAUUCUAGUUGAUUAUCUUGUUAAUUUGGAAAGCUUGAAAUCUUACUUGAGUUUUGAGAAUAUUUCAAAUUCAUGCU